rnacentral:rRNA from 1 species
GUAGGGAAUAUUGGGCAAUGGAUGCAAGUCUGACCCAGCCAUCCCGCGUGCCGGAAGAAGGCCCUCAGAGUUGUAAACGGCUUUUGACGGUGAAGAAUCGACAGGAUGCGUCCUGUUUUGACGGUAGCCGUUGAAUAAGCACCGGCUAACUCCGUGCCAGCAGCCGCGGUAAUACGGAGGGUGCGAGCGUUGUCCGGAUUUAUUGGGUUUAAAGGGUGCGUAGGCUGGAAGGUCAGUCAGCGGUGAAAAGCUGUCGCUUAACGAUAGUCUUGCCGCAGAUACUUCCUUUCUUGGAUGAGGAGGAGGCCACUGGAACGGAUGGUGUAGCGGUGAAAUGCAUAGAUAUCAUCCAGAACACCGAUUGCGAAGGCAGGUGGCUGUACCUUAAUCGACGCUGAUGCACGAAAGCAUGGGGAGCAAACAGGAUUAGAAACCCUGGUAGUCC